GCUAGCGUUGUUCGGAAUCACUGGGCGUAAAGCGCACGUAGGCGGAUGUGUCAGUCAGGGGUGAAAUCCCGGAGCUCAACUUCGGAACUGCCUUUGAUACAGCACGUCUUGAGUCCGAUAGAGGUGGGUGGAAUUCCUAGUGUAGAGGUGAAAUUCGUAGAUAUUAGGAAGAACACCGGUGGCGAAGGCGGCCCACUGGAUCGGUACUGACGCUGAGGUGCGAAAGCGUGGGGAGCAAACAGG
rnacentral:rRNA from 1 species